ACCCUUUCAAUGCAAUGUUUUGAAAGAAACUUUGUAGUAAUUGUAAUGAGUUGUACAGUCAUAAUUCAUUAAAACACUGCAUACAUAUGUACACUACAUGCAUACGUCACGUCGUUGACUUUGCCCCGUUCUAAGCCCUAACUUUCCAUGGGGGUCGUCAGCUACACUGCUGUACCUCCCCUAAUUUUUUUUCCACCUCCCGCACUAUUU